GACGGAGGGUGCUAGCGUUGUUCGGAAUCACUGGGCGUAAAGGGCGCGUAGGCGGCGCAGCGUGUCGGCUUUGUGAAAGCCCGGGGCUCAACCCCGGAGGUGCGGCCGAAACUGCUGUGCUGGAGGCCGGAAGAGGAGGGUGGAAUACCCAGUGUAGAGGUGAAAUUCGUAGAUAUUGGGUGGAACACCGGUGGCGAAAGCGGCUCUCUGGUCCGGUUCUGACGCUGAGGCGCGAAAGCGUGGGGAGCAAACAGG
rnacentral:rRNA from 1 species